ACCACUUUGUGCUGUCUACCAGAAUCCAAGGAGCUGAACCUCUUUCCAGAAUCCUCCAUGGAUAAGGAUCCACCUCAUUCUAGACUUGACAGAUUCAGUGCGAUGGUGGGCCAGGGGCUGGGUGGGUCAGACAGUACAGUAGAAACUGAAGAUCCACCAGGAGAACCAGGCCAAAUUACAUGCCAUGUCUAAGGGCGAGAUCCUAGAGGAGCAGAAAAGGCUGCUGGGUCAGCUAGAUCCCAGACUUGUUGACUUUGUAAGGGACUCGUAAAGUACUGGGAGCCCCAACCUCUACCUCACAGCCUUCCAACUUCCUGGAUGAAAGAGGCAGGGAACAGCGUCUGCUAGAAACCAUCAUGACAGAGACAGACGCCAAGAAGCCAGAGCAGAAUCCUCUGGACAUAAAGAUUGGAGAAAGUGGAAGAUGAGGAAGAUGAAAGCGGAGGACCUGCCUGUCAAGCCUCAGAAGGAGUAGGUGCACAUGGACAAGCUGGAGCCAGAGAAGUUGGAGUGGAUCAGGGACCUGCCUGUACCCAGACGGAAAGGAACCAAGAUGGCCAUGCAGGCUCACUUUGACUUUGCUGGAACCCUGAUCCCACCCCAGAGGAACUGCCCACCCACCUUGGUUUGCAGCACAUUGGAGAGGAGCCUGAGGAGCUCUUCCUCUGUCGCAGUCAGGUGAUCCAGCAGUGGAGUCCUCAACACUCUGGCCCACAUUCUCACGAAGGUAGUCAGGCAGAGGGCUGGCCAGUUUGCGGCUACUCUCAGGGGCAGUGUGGUGUCAACUCUUCUGGCCUUCUCUUCAUGCUGCACUUCUCACUGGACGAUAAUGUGGAGGGAGUGAUGUCUGCAGCUGUGCAGGGGCUCAGAGCCCUCCUGGUGUCCUCAGACGAUGAUCACACUCAUGAUUCCAUGGGCUGGCCCCCUUUCCUCUGUUCAGGAAGAGGAGGAAGACGAGGGGCUCUGAGGUCAUGAGAGAGACUGCUUCAGAGAAGGAAGAAAAAAAGACUGAUGAUGACUUUUCCAGGGAUGAUGUCAUUAAGGGUUUACUGAGGAUGAAGCUGCUUCCUAGGCUCCCUACAUCCUAGAGGGGAUCCGCCCGUCACCCAGGGUGGUCCAGGAUGUCCUCGGAGUCCUGAUCCGCAUUGUCAGACACUCCUCCUCAGCAGCCACUCAGGUCUUGGACUGCCCUCGUUUGAAGGAGACUGUGUUGUCAGAGUUCCUGCCCUGCUCCUGGGCAGUGCCCACCUCCCCGACCCCCAGUCUGUAUGCGUGGCCAACGCCAUGAAGCUCCGACAAGUCCUGUACACCACUGGCAGACACGCCUGUGCCAGGCUGGUGAACUCUCUGGGUGUGCGGGAGCGUCUAUCUCGUCUGCUGGCCCCGGAGCCCAGUGAUCUGCAGCUGGAGCCAGGGGAGGCCCUGAGGGUCAGCUCUGCGUCCUACCGGCUGUGGGCUGUGGCAGCCAGCUACGACAGGCCUGCAACCUCUACAAGAGAGUAACUGGUCGUAACUGGGUUGACUGACAACGUCACGAAUAUGAUGCGUGUGCAUCGAUGUGGCCGGAAGGUGUGCGUUGAUGUCAUAUAUAUGCUAAUAUGGCUACAUUUCGCUAGCUAGCUAAUCAGAAACUGUAACAAUGUAUUUCAGAGACAAGUGCUCAUUGUCUAAAUGUAUUUGUUUUCAAUAAACAUUUGGAGACUAAAUAUAGUUGACAUGUUGUCAACAGUCUCAGCCAACCCUGUCUGCUUUGCC
rnacentral:lncRNA from 1 species